ACUGUAGCCUGUAAAAUUCUAACUGCUAAAUCCCUAGAGGAACGGUUGCCCUGAAUCCAUUUCCUCCGCUGACUCCAUGUCUCCAGGCUGUAUGGGCAUGCCUUUGCCAUUAUGGCGGUCAUAUUUCGUAAUAUGUCUUAAGUGGCAUACGACUGUUUGACAGUGGUGGUCACCUCUACCCACAAAUCCCUUCUAUCAUAUACACUAUCUAAAAUACUUCAGUUUCGUUCAAUUCUCUCAAUUAAGUUAGGUGCAGUUCGUGACUCUCAAACUUCAGCCUUUUGCCAACACAUCUUUAAGUUUUUCUUGAACUUCUUCAACCUUAAUGAUACUGAGUUUUACGUGAAUCCGUGAAUCUGCUAGUGUGUGCGCUCUCCAGUUUCUUUUGGAGGCACUCAGAGGUUGAAGUGUCCUCAUUUAGAGUAAAAUAAAAACCAGCAGAUAAAAUAGUCAUGUAUGGAUUAUGCGGUGUGGAAAAAUGAAUUUGGAAGAAGACGAGAUUAUUGAAAAGAAGCAUAAAAUAUGAGGAGGGAGGAUUCUGCUUAUGGAUACAACUCUAUCAAAGUGGACAAGAAAAGAGUUGAAAAACAGAAGAUGUUUGAUUAAAGUAAGAAGUGAUGUAUAAAUUAUAUGAGAGGAGAUAGACAAGAUGGUUUUUGCAACGACAGAAGCAAGAUCCUAUCAUUUAUGGAUCUAGAGAUGGAAUGUGUGAGUUUCUGGACACUUGAUAGCCUCAGUGAAAGCUAUCCAAUUGCUGAUGGAGUAUCUUCAAAGAAAAGCAGAAUCAGAUUAAAGUGCAUGUGUUAGGGUGGGGUAAGUGUUAGAAGACAAAGGAGAGGGAAAUCAACUAACACUUUCUUCAGUAGGAGGCAACACAUGAAGAAAUAUAUCCAGACUGUUGACCCUCACCAUGACUACAGAAUUUAACAUAUAGAACAUACAUUGCUCUGUCUCUAUGUCUAUAUACAUAUACGUCUAUCUAUGAUUCUCAAGCAUCAUUAGCCAAAAUACUUGAGUAAAAGCAGAAAGCUGACUUUUCUACAAAUGUUCUUUACUCGAUUAGUUACAAAGAACAUGAGAAGAGUAAAACUAAAAGACCACAAACUUAGUGAUUGACCAUGAAAUUCCGUGCAUUUGAACCAGAAUGUCAAGCAUAAACAAGUUACAGACAUUAGG